rnacentral:rRNA from 1 species
GGAGGGGCCUGCGUCCGAUUAGCUCGUUGGUGGGGUAACGGCUCACCAAGGCGACGAUCGGUAGGUGGUCUGAGAGGACGAUCACCCAGACUGGGACUGAGACAUGGCCCAGACUCYUACGGGAGGCAGYAGUCGGGAAUUUUGCGYAAUGGGCGAAAGCCUGACGCAGCAACGCCGCGUGAGGGAUGAAGGNCUUCGGGUUGUAAACCUCUUUUUUCAGGGACGAUAAUGACGGUACCUGACGAAUAAGUCACGGCUAACUACGUGCCAGCAGCCCGCGGUAAUACGUAGGUGACAAGCGUUGUCCGGAUUUACUGGGCGUAAAGAGCGCGCAGGCGGUCGUUCAAGUCGAGUGUGAAAGCCCCCCGGCUCAACUGGGGAAGGGUCACUCGAUACUGAUCGACUCGAAGGCAGGAGAGGGUAGUGGAAUUCCCCGGUGUAGUGGUGAAAUGCGUAGAUAUCGGGAGGAACACCAGUGGCGAAGGCGACUACCUGGCCUGUUCUUGACGCUGAGGCGCGAAAGCUAGGGGAGCAAACGGGAUUAGAUACCCCGGUAGUCCUAGCCGUAAACGAUGGACACUAGGUGUUGGUGGUAUCAACCCCGCCAGUGCCGAAGCUAACGCAUUAAGUGUCCCGCCUGGGGAGUACGGCCGCAAGGCUAAAACUCAAAGGAAUUGACGGGGGCCCGCACAAGCAGCGGAGCGUGGGGUUUAAUUCGACGCAACGCGAAGAACCUUACCAGGGCUUGACAUGACCAGGACCGCGGCGGAAACGUCGCUUUCCCGCAAGGGACCUGGCCACAGGUGUUGCAUGGCUGUCGUCAGCCCGUGUCGUGAGAUGUUGGGUUAAGUCCCGCAACGAGCGCAACCCCUACUGUGUGUUGUAUCACUCACACGGGACUGCCGAGAGAAACUCGGAGGAAGGUGGGGAUGACGUCAAGUCAGCAUGGCCCUUACGUCCUGGGCUACACCCACGCUACAAUGGCCGGUACAACGGGCGGCGAAACCGCGAGGUGGAGCAAAUCCCUUAAAGCCGGUCUCAGUUCGGAUUGUAGGCUGCAACUCGCCUACAUGAAGCCGGAGUUGCUAGUAACCGCAGGUCAGCAUUACUGCGGUGAAUAUGUUCCCGGGCCUUGUACACACCGCCCGUCACGUCAUGAAAGCUGGCAACACCCGAAGCCGGUGGGCCAACCGCAAGGAGGCAGCCGUCGAAGGUGGGGUCGGUGAUUGGGACGAAGUCGUAACAAGGUA